rnacentral:rRNA from 1 species
UACGUAGGGGGCUAGCGUUGUCCGGAAUCAUUGGGCGUAAAGAGCGUGUAGGCGGCCAGAUAAGUCCGCUGUGAAAUCUCGAGGCUCAACUUCGAGCUGUCGGUGGAAACUGUCUGGCUAGAGUCCGGAAGAGGAGAAUGGAAUUCCUGGUGUAGCGGUGAAAUGCGCAGAUAUCAGGAAGAACACCGAUGGCGAAGGCAACCAUCUGGGCCUGUACUGACGCUGAGGUACGAAAGCGUGGGGAGCAAACAGGG